rnacentral:lncRNA from 1 species
UUAGUAUCAGCAAAGAGCUUAAUGCCAAACAUUAUGUAACGAUUGCUUAAUUUUCUAACAGUCAAAAGCCCUUGAUUAGGUUAUACAUACAUUCUAAGACUUUUCGCCUUGCGUUUUUGUGAUGGGGUUAUCAAACUGAAAGAAGUAUUCCAAAGUUUUUCUACAGUCUUGAGAAAUUUUUACGUAUUGGAUUAUAUUAUGCUAGAAAAUAUUAAAAAUAACAACUCAGAUUCUUAAUCUCACACCACGUUUAAUCGCUCGACCAACAGACAAACUGCUUGUAAGUUUCAAAUUAUUUGAACCAAGAGCCAUGUGAAAAGAAGAAAGUUAAGCGUAAACUUGUCCAUUUUAAAUUCGAUUCAUGUUUGAAAUUAAAUUGCU